AUGCCGCCACCAUAGAAGACAUUCUGGACUUCCUGGGGGAGUUUUCCACAGACAUUCGUACGCAUGGGGUUCACAUGGUAUUGAACCACCAGGGACGCCCGUCAGGAGAUGCCUUUAUCCAGAUGAAGUCUACAGACAGAGCAUUCAUGGCUGCGCAGAAGUAUCAUAAAAAAACCAUGAAGGACAGAUAUGUUGAAGUCUUUCAGUGUUCAGCUGAGGAGAUGAACUUUGUGUUAAUGGGGGGCACUUUAAAUCGAAAUGGCUUAUCCCCACCGCCAUGUAAGUUACCAUGCCUGUCUCCUCCCUCCUACACAUUCCCAGCUCCUGCAGCCGUGAUUCCUACCGAAGCUGCCAUUUAUCAGCCUUCCCUGCUCUUGAACCCACGGGCACUGCAGCCCUCCACUGCUUACUACCCAGCAGGCACUCAGCUGUUCAUGAACUACACAGCCUACUAUCCCAGUGUUUGAAAGACGCAUGGUGAUCCUGAAACUAUCAGACGAGAACUUCUAGCAAUUUCAGGGGAUGUUUGUCUACACUCAGGCUGCGGAAGUUUCAGCCAACGGAUUGGACAGUGGGCCUGGGCCUUAUCUUUUGGUGGAGUGAAAAAACGUGGAGCCGUGGAAGCCAAAUCUUUAUAGCAAGCAGUGUGCACGAACCUGGCUCCUUGCUGAGUGCAAAUAGGAAUUUAAAUGUGAAUUUGAAGUCAAAGUUCUCACUUCCAGCUAACUGGCAACAUUUAUUUCCUGAGCUGAAGUCUUGGAGUAAAAUACAUUCCAGUAGCAUCUACCAUCCACCAUUAAUUGCUAUGGAAGCCUCAUUGUGUACCCCACUCUUCUGUCUCCCUGUUUUCUGUAAAAUAAAACCCUCUUGCUAAGUAAUUUAAGUGUACGUUCUUAGAAUACUUAAGUCCCAAACUAAAGAAAAGGAAUAAAAUAAAAUUAAUAUUUUCCCAAAUACUAGUUUUCUUCAAUAGGCCAUCAUGGUGCCUUAUUGUUAACAACAAAUAUUUCUAAAAUGUCUCAGGCAGGCUGGGCCCAUCUCCGUGGUAAAGAGCUUGCCUGCCUAGCACACUUGAGCCCUGGGUUUGCAGACCUAUCCCCUGUGUCCUCUCCACAGUGCGCCCUUCCACACGCGCCUUGUUAAAGGCCUUGCUGCGUGUUUUUCUCUGCAGGUAUCCGCUGUAAAUAAGAAUGAAGUAGGGGCCAAAACCUGAAACCAAAAAUGAAGCAGCUCCUUGUAGUCUUAGUUCCUAGUUUGAGCUGUAGCUGACUGCUUGGCUUCCCGUGUAUUAUUUUAUAUUGUGCUUUUGUCAUUGUUAAUGGUUUGGACUUUAAUAAGAGAAAUCCCAUAGUUUUUAAUGUCACAAAAAUAAGCCUAUUUGAACAGUGUAUUCCAGAAAGCAAUAUACUAACCAAAGUGAAUGCUUGUGUGUAUUGAUACCCUUUUCCUCUCUAACGCCUCAACUGUCAAGGAACUAAAACCUUUAAAAGCAUAGGCAUGCUGGCCUGAGGUAAACACUGGUACAGUUAGAGCGGAGGCAGCAGCCCCCGGUGUUCAGCACAGCUUGUCUGAUGUGUUUAUGGCCAGAGUGCAGUAUUCGGCACUGGCUAGUACCGCUGCCUGACCGAACUCCACUGGGAAGUGGUUUGCUUAAACGCACAUGUUUCUUUGUUACUCCUGACCAUGCUUGGAUGCAGUGCCUAGAUUGUGGCUGCUAUUUUUAGUUCGCAUCAUGACCUUGACUGCGGAGUCCAGCCUUACCCUCUUACUUGACAACAGUAGCCCUUAAACUGCAGUGGGAAGAAAGAAGAAUUUGGUAUGAAAAUUGGUGAGCUCUGGCACUUGAGAUAAACAAGAAGAAAGUUCCAACUUGAUGCCUUAAGCCGCUCCUGCCCGAAGCUCUGAAGGACUAAGUUGGCAGAGAUCCUUACUUUGAUACUACUGCAUUUUUUGUAGAAUUGUUACAUUGAUAAUAAAACUUGCCUGCUUAACCUCAA
rnacentral:lncRNA from 1 species